AGAGUUUGAUCCUGGCUCAGGACGAACGCUGGCGGCGCGCCUAACACAUGCAAGUCGAACGAGCGAGAGAGAGCUUGCUUUCUUGAGCGAGUGGCGAACGGGUGAGUAACGCGUGAGGAACCUGCCUCAAAGAGGGGGACAACAGUUGGAAACGACUGCUAAUACCGCAUAAGCCCACGGCUCGGCAUCGAGCAGAGGGAAAAGGAGCAAUCCGCUUUGAGAUGGCCUCGCGUCCGAUUAGCUAGUUGGUGAGGUAACGGCCCACCAAGGCGACGAUCGGUAGCCGGACUGAGAGGUUGAACGGCCACAUUGGGACUGAGACACGGCCCAGACUCCUACGGGAGGCAGCAGUGGGGAAUAUUGCACAAUGGGGGAAACCCUGAUGCAGCGACGCCGCGUGGAGGAAGAAGGUCUUCGGAUUGUAAACUCCUGUUGUUGAGGAAGAUAAUGACGGUACUCAACAAGGAAGUGACGGCUAACUACGUGCCAGCAGCCGCGGUAAAACGUAGGUCACAAGCGUUGUCCGGAAUUACUGGGUGUAAAGGGAGCGCAGGCGGGAAGACAAGUUGGAAGUGAAAGCCAUGGGCUCAACCCAUGAACUGCUUUCAAAACUGUUUUUCUUGAGUAGUGCAGAGGUAGGCGGAAUUCCCGGUGUAGCGGUGGAAUGCGUAGAUAUCGGGAGGAACACCAGUGGCGAAGGCGGCCUACUGGGCACCAACUGACGCUGAGGCUCGAAAGUGUGGGUAGCAAACAGGAUUAGAUACCCUGGUAGUCCACACUGUAAACGAUGAUUACUAGGUGUUGGAGGAUUGACCCCUUCAGUGCCGCAGUUAACACAAUAAGUAAUCCACCUGGGGAGUACGACCGCAAGGUUGAAACUCAAAGGAAUUGACGGGGGCCCGCACAAGCAGUGGAGUAUGUGGUUUAAUUCGACGCAACGCGAAGAACCUUACCAAGUCUUGACAUCCUGCGACGCACAUAGAAAUAUGUGUUUCCUUCGGGACGCAGAGACAGGUGGUGCAUGGUUGUCGUCAGCUCGUGUCGUGAGAUGUUGGGUUAAGUCCCGCAACGAGCGCAACCCUUAUGGUCAGUUACUACGCAAGAGGACUCUGGCCAGACUGCCGUUGACAAAACGGAGGAAGGUGGGGAUGACGUCAAAUCAUCAUGCCCUUUAUGACUUGGGCUACACACGUACUACAAUGGCGUUAAACAAAGAGAAGCAAGACCGCGAGGU
rnacentral:rRNA from 1 species